rnacentral:rRNA from 1 species
UACGUAGGGGGCAAGCGUUGUCCGGAUUUAUUGGGCGUAAAGAGCGUGUAGGCGGCUUUACAGGUCCGUUGUGAAAACUCGAGGCUCAACCUCGAGACGCCGGUGGAAACCGUAAAGCUAGAGUCCGGAAGAGGAGAGUGGAAUUCCUGGUGUAGCGGUGAAAUGCGCAGAUAUCAGGAAGAACACCCGUGGCGAAGGCGGCUCUCUGGGACGGUACUGACGCUGAGACGCGAAAGCGUGGGGAGCGAACAGGAUUAGAUACCUGUA